UACCGUCAUAAACCUGCCGUCAAUGCUCCCUUUGCCGCCGCUCCCUUCCGUCGCUUCAACCCCCAACUCCUUCCGUGCCGCUCCCUUCCUGCUUAGCUUUGAAAGAAACUAGACUCUCCAGGCAUUCAUCGAUCUUAGCUUCUUACUUCUUUGAACUGCAGGAUAGUUGAAGAGUACAUGCGUGGACUUACUGCACUUUUGGUACCUUCCAAAUACAGAUUCAACCAAAUGUACCUGCUGAUGAAGAACGCAUCACAGGGUAGGUACAAUGUCUUUUGGAAACCCUGUUAUGUUUAUUGGAUUUGAAGAAA